UAUUCUGCCCCAUGGGGAAGGAUGAGAAGCUUCGACUAAGGUUCGACUCGAGCGAAGCGAGAGAACGUUGCCGCAGGCAA
rnacentral:sRNA from 1 species